UCCCUAGAUAUAUGAAGGGCUGCUGAGAAGUUCCUGUCUUUUAGGGUAUCGCAAAAGGCCUGGCAGGAGGCCCAGCCUUCCGACUUUUUUUUUAUAGGGCUUAGAAAAACUGAAGGACCGCUGCAAUAAGUGUGUGAAUCUGAGAGGGGA